rnacentral:rRNA from 1 species
GGGGACCAUCCUCCAAGGCUAAAUACUCCUGACUGACCGAUAGUGAACCAGUACCGUGAGGGAAAGGCGAAAAGAACCCCGGCGAGGGGAGUGAAAUAGAACCUGAAACCGUGUACGUACAAGCAGUGGGAGCACUCUUUAUGGGUGUGACUGCGUACCUUUUGUAUAAUGGGUCAGCGACUUAUAUUCUGUAGCAAGGUUAACCGUAUAGGGGAGCCGCAGGGAAACCGAGUCUUAACUGGGCGUUAAGUUGCAGGGUAUAGACCCGAAACCCGGUGAUCUAGCCAUGGGCAGGUUGAAGGUUGGGUAACACUAACUGGAGGACCGAACCGACUAAUGUUGAAAAAUUAGCGGAUGACUUGUGGCUGGGGGUGAAAGGCCAAUCAAACCGGGAGAUAGCUGGUUCUCCCCGAAAGCUAUUUAGGUAGCGCCUCGUGAACUCAUCUUCGGGGGUAGAGCACUGUUUCGGCUAGGGGGCCAUCCCGGCUUACCAACCCGAUGCAAACUGCGAAUACCGAAGAAUGUUAUCACGGGAGACACACGGCGGGUGCUAACGUCCGUCGUGAAGAGGGAAACAACCCAGACCGCCAGCUAAGGUCCCAAAGUCAUGGUUAAGUGGGAAACGAUGUGGGAAGGCCCAGACAGCCAGGAUGUUGGCUUAGAAGCAGCCAUCAUUUAAAGAAAGCGUAAUAGCUCACUGGUCGAGUCGGCCUGCGCGGAAGAUGUAACGGGGCUAAAACCAUGCACCGAAGCUGCGGGCAGCGACGCUCAGGCGUUGAUGCGGUAGGGGAGCGUUCUGUAAGCCGUGUGAAGGUGAGUUGAGAAGCUUGCUGGAGGUAUCAGAAGUGCGAAUGCUGACAUAAGUAACGAUAAUGCGGGUGAAAAA